CACGUAGUUAGCCGGGGCUUCUUGGUCAGGUACUGUCAUUUUCUUCCCUGCUGACAGGGCUUUACGCACCGGAGUGCUUCUUCACCCACGCGGCAUUGCUGCAUCAGGGUUUCCCCCAUUGUGCAAUAUUCCCCACUGCUGCCUCCCGCAGGAGUCUGGGCCGUGUCUCAGUCCCAAUGUGGCCGUCCACUCUCUCAAGCCGGCUACUGAUCAUCGUCUUGGUAGGCCGUUACCCUGCCAACUAACUAAUCAGACGCGGGCCCAUCCUGUACCACCGUGGUUUUCCCUGCUGUGCCAUGCGGCACCGCAGGCUUAUGCGGUAUUAGCAGCCAUUUCUGGCUGUUGUCCCCCGGUACAGGGCAGGUUGCCCACGCGUUACUCACCCGUCCGCCACUAGGUUUAUAUAUCUUCCCUCCGGAGAGUUCUGUUAUAUAAACCCCGUUGACUUGCAUGUGUUAGGCAUGCCGCCAGCGUUCAUCCUGAGCCAGGAUCAAA
rnacentral:rRNA from 1 species